GGAGCCUUAGUUUAAUUAAAAUAUCUGUGUUGCAAUCAGGAGAUGUAGUGUUUUUGCAGGCUUUA
rnacentral:tRNA from 2 species